AUGAGGCCAGGAGGCAGCUUUGUGCCAAGCUUCAUCAGUAUUCACCAGAGGUCUCCCUCUCUCACUCUCCCAAUAAUAUCCCAGUCAUUUAGGUCUGGUUGAGAUGCACAGCCGUACAGGAUAGCGGGACUCUGCAGCAAACUGGAGGAGAGCACCAUCCUCCAUGGCCUGGGCUUCUUCGAGAUCGACCUGUAAAAAACAAGACAAAUGCUGGGGAAGAUGGAACAUCUGGAAGGUUGGUGACUUUGCUACACUACAGACGGAGAGCAAGGAGAGCACAGCACAGGACAUGUUAAAAAAAAAAUAACACCAGAGAGAACUAAAGGAACUGUACAGAUCUGCGAUGAGCUACGGUGCUCCUUUGACCAAACCCGGCAGUGCAUUCAACCUGGUGAACAUCAUAUCACUGGGACUCGACAAGUUUGCUGACAGGAUCUGUGAGAUCUCUGGAGCUCUCCAUAGAACAGCUCCUGGCUAAGACGGUGUUCACCCUGCACUCCCCGGCGGUGCUGCAGCUGUCUAAACGGGACCGUUUUGAUUUGGCCUGCGUGCCGUCACCUCCUCGCUCCAUCACGCUGGAAAGAAACUGUGCUCUUUUUCUCAGUGCUUCUAAUAAAGAGAUCCUGCUAAUGGCUAUGAAGGACAUGGACAUUGCUAAGCUGACCUCUACUGACCUGCCACUGCAAGUUGUGCAGUGUUCCCUGAUGAAACAUCAAUUAUGGACUAUCGCAAGAUCCUCAGUGGUACAAUGGAAGUAUCCCCUGAAUUCUGUGACAAUGAGUCUUGGACAGCUAUAUGGAGAAAACGACCUCUCCACCAGUGAGUGAACUGACUGAGUGCUUUCUUCCCUCAUGAGAUCAGCCUGCACAGAUGAGGAACCAGAUUAGAAGUGGAUUGACGGAACUGUAGACACACUGAGGAUAUGACAACUCUGUCAUGGAUGACAACCAGGUUCCCACACUCAUCAUCAGAGGGAAAUCUCAUGCCU